GGUGUUGUGGCUCAGUGGUAGAAUGCUUGCCUAGCAUGCAUGAGGCCCUGGGUUCUAUCCUCAGCAUCACAU
rnacentral:tRNA from 1 species